UGGGGAAUAUUGCGCAAUGGGCGAAAGCCUGACGCAGCGACGCCGCGUGAGGGAUGAAGGUUCUCGGAUCGUAAACCUCUGUCAGGGGGGAAGAAACCCCCUCGUGUGAAUAAUGCGAGGGCUUGACGGUACCCCCAAAGGAAGCACCGGCUAACUCCGUGCCAGCAGCCGCGGUAAUACGGAGGGUGCAAGCGUUAAUCGGAAUCACUGGGCGUAAAGCGCACGUAGGCGGCUUGGUAAGUCAGGGGUGAAAUCCCACAGCCCAACUGUGGAACUGCCUUUGAUACUGCCAGGCUUGAGUACCGGAGAGGGUGGCGGAAUUCCAGGUGUAGGAGUGAAAUCCGUAGAUAUCUGGAGGAACACCGGUGGCGAAGGCGGCCACCUGGACGGUAACUGACGC
rnacentral:rRNA from 1 species